rnacentral:rRNA from 1 species
CCUACGGGUGGCAGCAGUGAGGAAUAUUGGUCAAUGGGCGCGAGCCUGAACCAGCCAAGUCGCGUGAGGGAGGACGGCCCUACGGGUUGUAAACCUCUUUUGCCGGGGAGCAACGGGCGCCACGUGUGGCGUCACUGAGAGUACCCGGAGAAAAAGCAUCGGCUAACUCCGUGCCAGCAGCCGCGGUAAUACGGAGGAUCCGAGCGUUAUCCGGAUUUAUUGGGGUUAAAGGGGGCGUAGAUGGUUUGUUAAGUCAGUUGUGAAAGUUUGCGGCUCAACCUUAAAAUUGCAAUUGAUAUUGGCAGCCUUGAGUAUAGUUGAGGUAGGCGGAAUUCGUGGUGUAGCGGUGAAAUGCUUAGAUAUCACGAAGAACUCCGAUUGCGAAGGCAGCUUACUAAACUGCCACUGACAUUGAUGCUCGAAAGUGUGGGGAUCAAACAGGAUUAGAUACCCCUGUAGUC